GUGGGGAAUAUUGGACAAUGGGCGCAAGCCUGAUCCAGCCAUGCCGCGUGAGUGAUGAAGGCCUUAGGGUUGUAAAGCUCUUUCAGUGGGGACGAUAAUGACGGUACCCACAGAAGAAGCCCCGGCUAACUUCGUGCCAGCAGCCGCGGUAAUACGAAGGGGGCUAGCGUUGUUCGGAUUUACUGGACGUAAAGCGCACGUAGGCGGAUCGUUAAGUCGGGGGUGAAAUCCUGGAGCUCAACUCCAGAACUGCCUUCGAUACUGGCGAUCUUGAGUCCGGAAGAGGUGAGUGGAACUCCUAGUGUAGAGGUGGAAUUCGUAGAUAUUAGGAAGAACACCAGUGGCGAAGGCGGCUCACUGGUCCGGUACUGACGCUGAGGUGCGAAAGCGUGGGGAGCAAACAGGAUUAGAAACCCGGGUAGUCC
rnacentral:rRNA from 1 species